UUUCGACCUGUUUGCUUCUACGUUCGUGCGCACGUAUGGGUACGGUUAGGUAAGAUAAGGGAUAGGUAAGGUAGAGUAAGGAAGGGUAAGGUAAGGGAUAUGCUAGGUAAGGUAGGAUAGGGUAAGGUAUGGUAAGGGAUAGGUAAGGUAAGGGCUAGGCUAGGCUAGGCUAGGCUAGGCUAGGCUAGGCUAGGAUAGGCUAGGUAAGGUAGGAUAGGAUAGGGUAAGGUAAGGUAAGGUAAGGGAUAGGUAAGGUAAGGGAUAGGCUAGGGAAUGGUAAGGGAUAAGUAAGGUAAGGUAAGGGAUAGGCUAGGUAAGGUAGGAUAGGGUCAGGUAAGGGAUAGGCUAGGGUAAGAUAAGGGAUAGGCUAGGUAAGGUAAGGGAUAGGCUAGGGUAAGGUAGGAUAGGGUAAGGUAAGGUAAGGUAAGGUAAGGGAUAGGCUAGGGUAAGAUAAGGGAUAGGCUAGGGUAGGAUAUAGGAUAGGGUAAGGUAAGGGAUAGGCUAGGGUAAGGUAAGGGAUAGGCUAGGUAAGGUAGGAUAGGGUUAGGUAAGGGAUAGGCUAGGUAAGGUAAGGGAUAGGCUAGGUAAGGUAGGAUAGGGUUAGGUAAGGGAUGGGUUAGGUAAGGGAUAGGCCAGGCAUGGUAAGGGAUAGGUAAUGUAAGGGAUAGGCUAUGUGAGGUAAGGGAUAGGUAAGGUAAGGUAAGGGAUAGGCUAUGUAAGGUAAGGGAUAGGCUAGGUAAGGGAUAGGCUAGGUAAGGUAAGGGAUAGGCUAUGUAAGGUAAGGGAUAGGCUAGGUAAGGGAUAGGCUAGGUAAGGUAAGGGAUAGGCUAGGUAAGGUAAGGGAUAGGCUAGGUAAGGUAGGAUAGGGAUAGGUAAGGUAAGGGAUAGGCUAUGUGAGGUAAGGGAUAGGCUAGGUAAGGUAAGGGAUAGGCUAGGUAAGGUAAGGGAUAGGUAAGGUAAGGGAUAGGCUAGGUAAGGUAGGAUAGGUAAGGUAAGGGAUAGGCUAG